rnacentral:rRNA from 1 species
GUUGAACGCUGGCGGCAGGCUUAACACAUGCAAGUCGAGCGGAGAUGAGGUGCUUGCACCUUAUCUUAGCGGCGGACGGGUGAGUAAUGCUUAGGAAUCUGCCUAUUAGUGGGGGACAACAUUCCGAAAGGAAUGCUAAUACCGCAUACGUCCUACGGGAGAAAGCAGGGGAUCUUCGGACCUUGCGCUAAUAGAUGAGCCUAAGUCGGAUUAGCUAGUUGGUGGGGUAAAGGCCUACCAAGGCGACGAUCUGUAGCGGGUCUGAGAGGAUGAUCCGCCACACUGGGACUGGGACACGGCCCAGACUCCUACGGGAGGCAGCAGUGGGGAAUAUUGGACAAUGGGGGGAACCCUGAUCCAGCCAUGCCGCGUGUGUGAAGAAGGCCUUAUGGUUGUAAAGCACUUUAAGCGAGGAGGAGGCUACUGAGACUAAUACUCUUGGAUAGUGGACGUUACUCGCAGAAUAAGCACCGGCUAACUCUGUGCCAGCCGCCGCAGUAAUAC